CAGACCUGCUAGCAAGUGAUGAUGCAGCUUAAGAUGGAGCGCGCUUGCCUAGAAGUUGCCUAUUCACUCCUGACUUAAAGGUACCCAUAUUAUAGGUAGGAGGGAAAACUAAUGCCGGAAGUGCGUUCCAUAUCCUAGCGGCCACAAUUUUUUU